UGGAGCAAUCCAUGAGUAGAGUGGCAAACGGGUGAGUAACACGUGGGUGACCUGCCUUCGAGCGGGGGAUAACGUCCCGAAAGGGACGCUAAUACCGCAUAACAUCCUGCCUUUUAAGAGGUGGAGAUCAAAGCCGGGGAUUCGCAAGAACCUGGCACUUGAAGAGGGGCCCGCGCCUGAUUAGCUAGUUGGUGGGGUAAUGGCCUACCAAGGCAACGAUCAGUAUCCGGCCUGAGAGGGCGGACGGACACACUGGGACUGAGACACGGCCCAGACUCCUACGGGAGGCAGCAGUGGGGAAUUGUUCGCAAUGGGCGCAAGCCUGACGACGCAACGCCGCGUGGAGGAUGAAGACCUUCGGG
rnacentral:rRNA from 1 species